GGCUUAGUUGGUAGAGCAUGGCGCUUGCAUCGCCAGAGUUGUGGGUUCCAUUCCCAU
rnacentral:tRNA from 1 species